GUCCUGAGAAAACACAGCAGUGAACAGCACGUUUCCUAACCCAACACGACUCCAAAGCUUACCUGACGCACCCCUCCCUCUUGCCAAAACACGGCCUUACCAGCACGGGUUCCUGGGGGAGGUUUCAGCACGUCAGCCCCAGCCCAAUGCACGCGCUGGCUGCGCACACGUGGCUGCUCUGCAUAAAGCACACCUGCAGUUUUUCCAUGCAGCAGAUCACCUCGAGCAGAAGAGCUCUUCACGCGCAUCGAGACCGUCCUCGACACCGCCCAUCAAGCCUGCUGCUGGUCCAAAAGCCCCCUCCUUAAAACGAGCUGAUGGGCACGCUGGGCAGCCUCGGCAAGGCACGGCACAGCGCUCUGCCCCCGGCGCUGCGCCUCCUGCUCCUGCCACCAGCCUCCCCGUGCCCUCAGCACCCAGCCAGCUCCAUCCUUUUUCCUCCCCUGGGCAUAUGCGCGAGUCUUGUGUCUACCACCCGACUCUUCUUCAGAGAGAUGAGUUUCCCAUAAACUUCAUUAGUUAGAUGCAGUUUUUAUAGGUAAUUCAGAACCUCUUCCCACCUUUCUGGGUUAUUAAAUCUAUUAACAUCGCAGGAUAUCGUUAUGUAAGUACUGCUCACCUCCAUUAUGCAGCAGAAUUAGAAGAGAGCUAUCAGAACCCAGAUUGCCGGGUUUCAUCUCAGCCUCUGCGUGAACUCAGGCACCAGAAGCAAACUAACCCGCACGGGAUGGGGCUUCCAUACCGAAGAGAGCGACAAGAAGGCAAGGAGAAGAGGAGGAGACCAAGCCCACGAGGCAGGUAAGGCUUACACGUGUCUCAGGCGAGUGCUGUGAGGAAGGCAGGGGGUUUGCUUGCCCCACUCCGCCCUCCACUUGUCUCCUCCAGCUCUCCUUUCAUUUUCAAUCCACCUUCCAGUCGCAUCUGAGGUUUUUAAUACCACCUACAGUCAACCUAGACCAACCCUUGGAAGGAUCCCCUCCAAGAAAUGUCUAGUUUAAACGCUUACAGAAACCGUGCUUCAUAUUUCUACUCCCUCUUAGUUUAGGUUCAACUGGCUCCCCAGAUGCUUUUUGAAGAAACUGCUAAAACGGGUCAUUUUUUUGACAGGAAACCAGUCCCGGCCAACAGUAAUCUUCAGAAAGCUCUCUCCACCUUUUACUGGAAUAGAAAGCUUCAGAAGAAUAGUGUGAGCCUUUUAAUUAAGUAUGAUAGCUUCUCCAUGGCAUAUAAAAAGGAGGAAAGUUCUGUGUGCAAAACUUUGAAAAAUUGCCUCUUUUUUUCAGCACUUCAGGAGUAUGCAAACUGAAACGUGCGGGGUAUGCUCACCUUGGUGGCUGCCCCAAAAGGCUUCGGCUGAUGCUGCAUUGGAGCCGCGUGUCCCUAAGGGGGAUGCCAGUGGCCACUGCCCCGUCUCAGUAACAGAGGGAAGGGCAGCAUCUCUUUUCCCUAAAUUUCCUCUCACCGCCCCAGGCCCACCCCUCCUGCCAGCCCGUUUGCUUCUCAGCUGUCUCUAGAGACACAGCCAACGCUGGGCGAGCUGAAGGAUCCUCCCCAGCCAGGGCAGCCCCGUUAGCUAGGUGUAACGGAGCAUCCUCACGGGUCCGUCCCAAGGCUCGAGGGACCGCAAGCACUGCUCAGCAAGGAUGGCAGCAACCGUGGCACUGCCACAGGGCCUCCUGCCUCCUGCUCUUAUCCUGUGUAGUAAUCAAAAUUUGAGGCUCAGAGCUGGAACAAAAUAGAAGGUUUUAUAAAAAAAAAAACAAACAUCUGUAUACGAGAAGAGCCAAGGGACACCACACACAAAGAACACUAAAAAUAUGAGGAGCCAACCCUAGCAAGAGAGGAAAUGCUUUUUCUAGACGAACUGGAGAUGUGUUUUUAAAGCACUGGUUGUUACAACGAUCAGCACCAAGAGACUUGGACUCCUUCAACACACGCCACAUACUUCAACUAAUUUUCACGACACCCCAGGGAAGCCAACACCUCCAUAUUAGCAAUCCCAUUACGCAAGCAGGGCGAGCAGGACAGAAAAGCAGCGUCAGCACCCUACAUCCAGCAGAGCAAUGGUGAGUGUGAGUGCUGGUGGGAGGACUGGGCUCGGGCUUGCUUGGCUCAGACCACUACACGACACCUGCCUUGCAUUUUCAGUGCAGACCUACCUACGUUGGCUGCUUCGGAGCGUGGCUUCGGAUCCAUCCUCUGUCCCUCCUGUUAGUUAAACGCUCAGCCUGCGUGGUCACCCUGCCCUCGGAAGGAUCACACAUUUCCCAGUGUCAAUGGGCUCCUCUGCUGCACACCCGG
ensembl:lncRNA